GUGGAUAUGAUGGAAUUGGUAGACAUGUUAGGUUUAGAUUCUAAUGACUUAAAGUCACGGGGGUUCGAGUCCCUCUAUCCAUA
rnacentral:tRNA from 1 species